CAGUCGCCGCGGUAACACGUAGGGCGCAAGCGUUGUCCGGAAUUAUUGGGCGUAAAGAGCUCGUAGGCGGUCUGUCGCGUCUGGUGUGAAAUCCCGAGGCUCAACCUCGGGCUUGCAUCGGGUACGGGCAGACUAGAGUGCGGUAGGGGAGACUGGAAUUCCUGGUGUAGCGGUGGAAUGCGCAGAUAUCAGGAGGAACACCGAUGGCGAAGGCAGGUCUUUGGGCCGCAACUGACGCUGAGGAGCGAAAGCAUGGGGAGCGAACAGGAUUAGAUACCCCAGUAGUCCCUGUCUCUUAUAC
rnacentral:rRNA from 1 species